rnacentral:rRNA from 1 species
GAGUUUGAUCAUGGCUCAGGACGAACGCUGGCGGCGCGCUUAACACAUGCAAGUCGAGCGAGAACCAGUCCUUCGGGGCUGGGGACAGCGGCGAACGGGUGAGUAAUACGUGAGUAAUCCACCCCCGACACUGGGAUAGCCCGGGGAAACCCGGAUUAAUACCGGAUAGCCACUUCGGUUUUCGGACCGGAAUGAAAAGGUAGCUUCGGCCUCCGGUUGGGGACGAGCUCGCGGCGGAUUAGCUUGUUGGCGGGGUAAAGGCCCACCAAGGCGACGAUCCGUAGCUGGUCUGAGAGGACGAUCAGCCACACUGGGACUGAGACACGGCCCAGACUCCUACGGGAGGCAGCAGUGGGGAAUCUUGUGCAAUGGGCGAAAGCCUGACACAGCGACGCCGCGUGAGGGAAGAAGGCCUUCGGGUUGUAAACCUCUUUCAGGAGGGACGAAGCCACUCGGGUGAAUAGCCCAGAGGGUGACGGUACCUCCAGAAGAAGCCCCGGCUAACUACGUGCCAGCAGCCGCGGUACGCC